rnacentral:rRNA from 1 species
ACCUGAUCCAGCCAUGCCGCGUGAGUGAAGAAGGCCUUCGGGUUGUAAAGCUCUUUCAGCCGGAACGAAACGGUCACGGUUAAUACCUGUGACUACUGACGGUACCGGAAGAAGAAGCACCGGCUAACUACGUGCCAGCAGCCGCGGUAAUA